rnacentral:rRNA from 1 species
GUCUACGGCCAUACCACCCUGAACGCGCCCGAUCUCGUCUGAUCUCCGAAGCUAAGCAGGGUCAGGCCUGGUUAGUACUUGGAUGGGAGAGAUGGAACAAUGGGCAGACAGGAGCUCUAGCUC